AGGACAAACGCUGGCGGCGUACUUAAGACAUGCAAGUCGAACGGGCGCUUCACCUUCGGGUGGGUGUGCUAGUGGCGGACGGGUGAGUAACGCGUAGGAACCUGUCAUCAAGAGGGGGAUAACGCUGGGAAACCGGCGCUAAUACCGCAUGUGGUCAUGAAAAUGAAGAAAGCAGCAAUGCGCUUGAUGAGGGGCCUGCGUCCGAUUAGCUUGUUGGUGGGGUAAAGCCUACCGAAGGCAUCGAUCGGUAGCUGGUCUGAGAGGAUGGUCAGCCACACUGGGACUGAGACACGGCCCAGACUCCUACGGGAGGCAGCAGUUAGGAAAUUUUCCCAAUGGGCGCAAAGCCUGAGGGAGUAACGCCGCGUGGAGGAUGACGGCUUUCGGGUUGUAAACUCCUUUCUGUGGGAAGAGUAGAAGACGGUACCGCAGGAAUAAGCCUCGGCUAACUACGCGCCAGCAGCCGC
rnacentral:rRNA from 1 species